rnacentral:rRNA from 1 species
UAGGGAAUCUUCCGCAAUGGGCGAAAGCCUGACGGAGCAACGCCGCGUGAGUGAUGAAGGUCUUCGGAUCGUAAAACUCUGUUAUUAGGGAAGAACAAAUGUGUAAGUAACUAUGCACGUCUUGACGGUACCUAAUCAGAAAGCCACGGCUAACUACGUGCCAGCAGCCGCGGUAAUACGUAGGUGGCAAGCGUUAUCCGGAAUUAUUGGGCGUAAAGCGCGCGUAGGCGGUUUUUUAAGUCUGAUGUGAAAGCCCACGGCUCAACCGUGGAGGGUCAUUGGAAACUGGAAAACUUGAGUGCAGAAGAGGAAAGUGGAAUUCCAUGUGUAGCGGUGAAAUGCGCAGAGAUAUGGAGGAACACCAGUGGCGAAGGCGACUUUAUGGUCUGUAACUGACGCUGAUGUGCGAAAGCGUGGGGAUCAAACAGG